rnacentral:rRNA from 1 species
UGGCAUUCGAGUGGCGGACGGGUGAGUAACGCGUGGGUAACCUGCCUUACACAGGGGGAUAACACCUGGAAACAGGUGCUAAUACCGCAUAAGCGCACAGGGCCGCAUGGCCCGGUGUGAAAAACUCCGGUGGUGUAAGAUGGACCCGCGUCUGAUUAGCUUGUUGGCGGGGUAGGGGCCCACCAAGGCGACGAUCAGUAGCCGGCCCGAGAGGGUGGACGGCCACAUUGGGACUGAGACACGGCCCAAACUCCUACGGGAGGCAGCAG